UUAGAUGUUUACUUAUUAAAAACACUGGUUCGUGAUGACUAAAUUUCUCAUACAUUUAAGUAAGACAAGCAAUUUAAAUUGAUAUUGCAUGAAAUAAUCAUUUUUGUAUCUUGUGAUAGUCAAGUAUGUGAAGAAUGUUGUUAUGUUCUGUGAUUGCCACCAUCAACAACCUAAAGCAAACAAGUGUGCAAACUUAUCCAGAUCAACAAACCAUCAUAGUCAGCCAUCCAAAUCAACACUCACCUUCAAGACAAAGAACGCAUGGCCGAUAACUGCCUAAAGGAAAAUCAUGAUCAUCGCUUCUUGCUUGCUUUUCUGAUGUUCUUUUUAUUUUCUACACCUUCAGUUUUAAUUUUCUGCAAGGUUGUCUUCUUUGUUUGUUUCCCCUCCAGUGAUGAUUUGCUCCAUUUACAAAGAGUUGUUCAUGCUCUAUAAAUUUAUAUCUCUCUGUUGUCAGAAAAUAUACAAAAACAAAAGCUGUAAAGUGUCCAGCUUGAUUCUCACCUGAAAAAUUCUAAAAACAAAUUCUUUGUUUUUCUUAACUUGGUAUCAGAGUCACUGAAAUGGUAAGAGAAAACAACAAUUCCUCAACCUUCAACCUAACACCUCAAAGAAUUCAAAUACUGCCCGAUAAUGCAAUGGGCUUUGUGUGUACGCUGAGGCUCAACCAUGACAACUUCCUUCUUUGAAAAAACAUGGUUCUCCCAAUUGUUCGUGGGAAUAAACUCGAAGGCUUCAUCACAGGAGCCAAAUCGAGUCCACUUGAAUACACAAAAAAAAGUGAUAGAAGGGAGCUCUGAAGUAGAAAUCACAGUGAACCCCGACUUUGAAGAUUGGUUCGCCCAAGAUCAAAUGCUGCUUGGGUAGCUCUACAAUUCAAUCGAAACCAAUGUAGCUUCAGAACUAAUGGGGUAUCCAAUAUCUAAACUCCUUUGGGAUGCCAUCCGGGACCUAUUCGCAAUUAAAACAAGAGCCAAUGUAAUCUACUACAAAAGAGAAUUUGUCAAAAUGCAAAAAGGAAAUCUAAAGAUGGAAGCAUACUUGAAGGCCACAAGGAACAUAUCAGAUAACCUUGCUUUAACAGGUCAUCCCAUAACUAUGGAAGAUCUCAUAGCACAGGUACUUGCUGGCCUGGACUCCCCAGAAUACUGUGCUAGUAUGCUAAAUGACAAGAAAGAAAGCAUAAGUUGGGUAGAGCUCCAGUUCAGGCAGCUAAAUUAUGAAAGAAAACUUGAACAACUUAACUCUGCAACGAAAAAUCUCAGCCCCGGCCAACCAUCAACAAAUUUCUCCAACAUAAGAAGUAGCAAAAACUGUCAAAACUCCCUUUCCCAACCAACCAACAGAGGAGGGCGUGACAAUAAAUUUAACAGAGGAGACCGCUAUAACCUAAGAAGAUAAGGAAAAAACGACAACAACUCUAAACCGAUUUGUCAAGUAUGUGGCAAAAUCGGGCAUACUGUUGCUCACUGCUAUUACAACUAUGAUAAUAGCUACUUGGGAGCCAUUCUUGAAAAUUCCACAAAGACCCACCAAAACUCAGUUUUCUCUAUCUCCACUAAAGCCAGCUUCGAAGACCUAGUAUGGUAUGUUGACAGCGGUACUAACAACCAUGUGACGGGUGACCCAAACAUUUUGCAAUCCAAAUAAGCAUAUGGAGGAAAUGAAAGUCUAAUUAUUGGAAACAGUGAAAAAUUGCCUAUCAAUCAUAUCAGUAAAACAGAUAUUUACACAUCUGAAAAUAAAAAAUUAGCACUAAACAAAGUGUUGCUUGUACCUCAAAUCACCAAAAAUCUUUUAAGCAUUUCUCAGCUCACCACCUCUAACAAUAUUGAAGUUAUUUUUAACUCAUCCUCUUGUUUUGUGAAGGACAAAGCCACUAGGAAGGUGUUGUUGCUAUGGAAGCUUAAAGAUUGUCUGUACUGUUUGGAUUCCUUGAAACUGACUGUCUCUCGUCGUCCUCCUUCUCAAGCCUUGAUCACCAAUAAAAAUAAAAAUGAAAAUGUCCGACCCCCUGACUCAAGAAAGCUGCAAAUAUGGCACAGAAGGCUAGGACACCCAUCACUAAAAAUUUUAGCUACUAUCUUAAGAUCAUGUAAUGAACCUUUUCAAUUCAGUGAAAGCUUUUUCUGUGAUGCAUGUUAACUGGGCAAGUCUCACUCUCUUCUUUACUCUCUAUCUUCCUCACAUGCAAAAUUUCCAUUCGAAUUAGUCCAUACUGAUGUUUGAGGACCUUCCCCUCUCACUGUACAUUCAAGCCAUAAAUAUUAUGUGAUCUUCAUAGAAGAUUUUAGCCGAUUUACCUGGCUCUAUCCACUUAAACAAAAAUUUGAUGUUCAACAAGAUUUUACCCUCUUCAAACUACGAACUGAAACUCAAUUUGGAAGGAAAAUAAAAUGCCUUUAGCCAGAUAUGGGGGAGAAUUCGUUGCUUUAACUCAAACACUGCAAAAUAAUGGGAUAAAAAUAAAAUACUUCUGCCCUUUCUCUUCAGCUCAAACGGACGAGUUGAGAGGAAACAUCGACACAUAGCUGAAACAGGCCUCACACUCCUUGGAGAAUCAGGUAUGCCCUUGAAAUAUUGGCUUGAUGCCUUUAAAACCGUUGUGUUCCUCACAAAUAGAAUGCCUACACCCAUCUUAAAUCAUACCUCACCUCUUGAAAAACUGUAUCACAAACGCCCUGACUAUAAACUACUAAAAACCUUUAGUUGUGCCUGCUUUUCUUUCCUAAGAUCGUAUUAAAAUCACAAGUUCUCCCUUCAUUCCACAAAAUGUGUAUUUCUCAAGUACAGUCCUCAACACAAAUGAUAUAAAUACCUCAGUUCCACAAAAAAAAUUUAUGUGUCAAGAAACAUUGUCUUCAAUGAGUUAGAGUUUCUCUUUCAUUAUGGUUUUAUAAACGCAUAUCACCCUGAAAUACCCUCUAGAAUUACACUGCCAUUAUGGUUUAAUGUGUCUUCUUCCUUCCCAUCAGCCUCACCUUUUUCUGAGAGCUCAAACAAUAGAGAUACCUCUGAAGCUACAGCACCAACAUCUUCUCCCAUAGUUGAGUCAUCACCUCCACACUACCUAAGUCUCAGAUUUUGCUCCUGCAAACAACACAAUAGAAAAUGACAUGUCUCAACUUGAACUUGAGUCUCCCAUCACUCAAAGCAUGACGCCGUAUGCUCAAAUAGAAGAAGAAGAACUGCAGACAUGUGACACUUUAGUUGAGCCUCCUAAGCACCAAAUGAUGACAAAAGCUCAAACUGAAAUAUUUAAACUAAGAGACCUCUCACAGGAUUCCACUUGUUCAGUCCACCAAAGAAAGAUAACCUCAGCAUACUCACUUCAAUUGCAGAUGCAAUCAAAAAUCCCUUCUAGAAAUCAGUAAUGGAAGAAGAGAUGACAGCUCUCGGCAACAACCAAACUUAGAAAUUAGUUCUCUAUCAUCAUGAAAUGAAUAUUAUAGGCAAUAAAUGGGUCUACAGGAUCAAAACAAAUACAGAUGGCAGUCUUCAACGGUGUAAAGCCAGGUUAGUUACUAAGGGUUAUCAUCAAACACUCAGAACUGACUUUCAUCAAACCUUUAGUCCGGUGAUUAAGGCGUCAACUCUCAUAGUUAUACUGAUCUUGACAGUCUCAAAUGGAUGAUACAUCAAACAAUUAGAUGUGAAUAAUGCCUUUCUAAAUAGGGAAUUGAAAGAAAUAGUAUUCAUUAAAUAACCUGAAGGAUUUGAAGACUCUGUACAUUCUAAUCAUGUAUGUCAACUUAACAAAGCUCUUUGUGGACUUA
rnacentral:lncRNA from 1 species